GUGUGUGUGUUAGUGGAAGCGUCUGGAAAGGCGCGCGAUACAGGGUGACAGCCCCGUACACAAAAAUGCACAUACUGUGAGCUCGAUGAGUAGGGCGGGACACGUGGUAUCCUGUCUGAAUAUGGGGGGACCAUCCUCCAAGGCUAAAUACUCCUGACUGACCGAUAGUGAACCAGUACCGUGAGGGAAAGGCGAAAAGAACCCCGGCGAGGGGAGUGAAAAAGAACCUGAAACCGUGUACGUACAAGCAGUGGGAGCCUCUUAAUGGGGUGACUGCGUACCUUUUGUAUAAUGGGUCAGCGACUUAUAUUCUGUAGCAAGGUUAACCGAAUAGGGGAGCCGAAGGGAAACCGAGUCUUAACUGGGCGUUAAGUUGCAGGGUAUAGACCCGAAACCCGGUGAUCUAGCCAUGGGCAGGUUGAAGGUUGGGUAACACUAACUGGAGGACCGAACCGACUAAUGUUGAAAAAUUAGCGGAUGACUUGUGGCUGGGGGUGAAAGGCCAAUCAAACCGGGAGAUAGCUGGUUCUCCCCGAAAGCUAUUUAGGUAGCGCCUCGUGAAUUCAUCUCCGGGGGUAGAGCACUGUUUCGGCAAGGGGGUCAUCCCGACUUACCAACCCGAUGCAAACUGCGAAUACCGGAGAAUGUUAUCACGGGAGACACACGGCGGGUGCUAACGUCCGUCGUGAAGAGGGAAACAACCCAGACCGCCAGCUAAGGUCCCAAAGUCAUGGUUAAGUGGGAAACGAUGUGGGAAGGCCCAGACAGCCAGGAUGUUGGCUUAGAAGCAGCCAUCAUUUAAAGAAAGCGUAAUAGCUCACUGGUCGAGUCGGCCUGCGCGGAAGAUGUAACGGGGCUAAACCAUGCACCGAAGCUGCGGCAGCGACACUAUGUGUUGUUGGGUAGGGGAGCGUUCUGUAAGCCUGUGAAGGUGUACUGUGAGGUAUGCUGGAGGUAUCAGAAGUGCGAAUGCUGACAUAAGUAACGAUAAAGCGGGUGAAAAGCCCGCUCGCCGGAAGACCAAGGGUUCCUGUCCAACGUUAAUCGGGGCAGGGUGAGUCGACCCCUAAGGCGAGGCCGAAAGGCGUAGUCGAUGGGAAACAGGUUAAUAUUCCUGUACUUGGUGUUACUGCGAAGGGGGGACGGAGAAGGCUAUGUUGGCCGGGCGACGGUUGUCCCGGUUUAAGCGUGUAGGCUGGUUUUCCAGGCAAAUCCGGAAAAUCAAGGCUGAGGCGUGAUGACGAGGCACUACGGUGCUGAAGCGACAAAUGCCCUGCUUCCAGGAAAAGCCUCUAAGCAUCAGGUAACAUCAAAUCGUACCCCAAACCGACACAGGUGGUCAGGUAGAGAAUACCAAGGCGCUUGAGAGAACUCGGGUGAAGGAACUAGGCAAAAUGGUGCCGUAACUUCGGGAGAAGGCACGCUGAUAUGUAGGUGAAGCGACUUGCUCGUGGAGCUGAAAUCAGUCGAAGAUACCAGCUGGCUGCAACUGUUUAUUAAAAACACAGCACUGUGCAAACACGAAAGUGGACGUAUACGGUGUGACGCCUGCCCGGUGCCGGAAGGUUAAUUGAUGGGGUUAGCGGUAACGCGAAGCUCUUGAUCGAAGCCCCGGUAAACGGCGGCCGUAACUAUAACGGUCCUAAGGUAGCGAAAUUCCUUGUCGGGUAAGUUCCGACCUGCACGAAUGGCGUAAUGAUGGCCAGGCUGUCUCCACCCGAGACUCAGUGAAAUUGAACUCGCUGUGAAGAUGCAGUGUACCCGCGGCAAGACGGAAAGACCCCGUGAACCUUUACUAUAGCUUGACACUGAACAUUGAGCCUUGAUGUGUAGGAUAGGUGGGAGGCUUUGAAGUGUGGACGCCAGUCUGCAUGGAGCCGACCUUGAAAUACCACCCUUUAAUGUUUGAUGUUCUAACGUGGGCCCCUUACCGGGGUUGCGGACAGUGUCUGGUGGGUAGUUUGACUGGGGCGGUCUCCUCCUAAAGAGUAACGGAGGAGCACGAAGGUUGGCUAAUCCUGGUCGGACAUCAGGAGGUUAGUGCAAUGGCAUAAGCCAGCUUGACUGCGAGCGUGACGGCGCGAGCAGGUGCGAAAGCAGGUCAUAGUGAUCCGGUGGUUCUGAAUGGAAGGGCCAUCGCUCAACGGAUAAAAGGUACUCCGGGGAUAACAGGCUGAUACCGCCCAAGAGUUCAUAUCGACGGCGGUGUUUGGCACCUCGAUGUCGGCUCAUCACAUCCUGGGGCUGAAGUAGGUCCCAAGGGUAUGGCUGUUCGCCAUUUAAAGUGGUACGCGAGCUGGGUUUAGAACGUCGUGAGACAGUUCGGUCCCUAUCUGCCGUGGGCGCUGGAGAACUGAGGGGGGCUGCUCCUAGUACGAGAGGACCGGAGUGGACGCAUCACUGGUGUUCGGGUUGUCAUGCCAAUGGCACUGCCCGGUAGCUAAAUGCGGAAGAGAUAAGUGCUGAAAGCAUCUAAGCACGAAACUUGCCCCGAGAUGAGUUCUCCCUGACUCCUUGAGAGUCCUGAAGGAACGUUGAAGACGACGACGUUGAUAGGCCGGGUGUGUAAGCGCAGCGAUGCGUUGAGCUAACCGGUACUAAUGAACCGUGAGGCUUAACCUU
rnacentral:rRNA from 1 species